AACGUAGGUUCCGAGCGUUAUCCGGAUUUACUGGGCGUAAAGCGCGUUCAGGCGGUUUGGCUAAGUCGGGCAUGAAACUCUCUCGGACUCCGAACCGGGAGAGGUUGGUCCGAUACUUCCAGACUUGAGGGCAGUAGAGGGUGGUGGAAUUCCGGGUGUAGUGGUGAAAUGCGUAGAUAUCCGGAGGAACACCAGUGGCGAAAGCGGCCACCGUGGACUGCACCUGACGCUGACACGCGAAAGCUAGGGGAGCGAACGGG
rnacentral:rRNA from 1 species